GACGAACGCUGGCGGCGCGCUUAACACAUGCAAGUCGAGCGAUGAAACUUUAACAGAACCCUUCGGGGCGAAGCUAAAGUGGAUUAGCGGCGGACGGGUGAGUAACCCGUUAGUAACCUGCCUUAGACAUUGGGAUAGCCUCAGGAAACCGGGAUUAAUACAAAAUCAAAUCAUAAUGACACAUGUCAUAACGAUCAACACUCCGUUGGUCUAAGGGGGAGGCUCGUCCCGUUAGCGAGUUGGUAGAGUAAAAGCCUACCAAGGCGGAGAUGGGUAGCCGGCAUGGGAGGGUGAACGGCCACAUUAGAACUGGGAAACGUACCGAAUUCCUCGGGGAAGGAGAAGGGGGGAAUAUUGCACGAUGGAGGGAUCUCUGAUGCAGCCACGCCGCGUGAACCAAGAAGGCUUGCAAGUCGUAAAUUUCUGUUAUAGGGGAAGACAAUGCCGGUACCAUAAGAAAAAGCCCCGGCUAACUACGUG
rnacentral:rRNA from 1 species